GGGGGCAUGGCAGAGCGGCCGAAUGCGCUGGUCUUGAAAACCAGAGGCGCCAAAACGCCCGAAGGUUCGAAUCCUUCUGCCCCCGCCG
rnacentral:tRNA from 1 species